AAAGGUCAGAACUGAAACAUUGAGCUUCAAUUGGAUUCAGCUGAGAGCCAGCACUGAGAGUAGGGAUGGGAGUGAUGCACUUUUGAUGACCAGAGCUGCCAAACACUUACAGGUUGUUGCAUUCUGCAAAACAUGAAGAUUUGGAAAGAGAGGGUGAAGAAAAAAGAAAAACAGGACUGGAAACAUCUGAUUUUAUUCUAGUGAACUCACGGUUUCUCCAGAACUGGAAACAAACACAGAGAUAUCCUUUCACAACAGUCAAGCUUCAAUUUGGUAUUUCUGAAAAGAUGAACUCUACUUUGAAGAUCUGUGAGCUAUGGACUUUGAAGAUCUUCUGUUAACUGUUGACUUUCUUCAGUUGGGAAAUACGUCCAGAGAAGCAAACCCUACCCCAGCAACGUAUACGAAGUGACCAUGUAUUUUCAUUCAGCUACAUAUCUGCAUAAAAUUCAGUUUGAGAAAUCCCUUUGUGUUCUCUA